UCCACGUGAUUGCCAUGAUGACGCCCCUACUGUGUGUGGUCGACCACUCCAACUACGACGGCUUGUGGUAUGGGUGCAAACUGUUUUAGUUUCGAGGAGGGACUGUAGAUACAUCCCGACCCGGAACAAUUCUGCUGAGGAGUCGAUGUCGUUGUUGGGGCUAGCAUGUUGUAUUUUCACUUUGAUUGGUAUUGUGCACCACUCUUGGAAAGGAAACCGAAAGUCCCUCCUUGUGUUGACUGGGUGCAUACUAUUAUCUGGGGUGUUUGCCCUACUCACGGUCAUCCUAUUUGGAGUCAAGCAUCCAAAAUAUCUGAGUUGGUCGUUCAAACUGGAUUGUGCCUCGGCAGCCAUUUUGCUGCUUUCUGCGGGAAUCUGUCUGUCCGGUAUUGGACAGGACCAGUAUGAGAUGCUCUCAUAGAAACCGAUUUAAAAACGAUUUGUGGACAGAAGCGAUUUAUCGCCAGGGAAGUUAUAGGUGCAUUCGCUAUGAAGCGAUUUAUUGAUCCACAUAAAAUAUGUGUGUGCGUGAAUGUACCUACAUGUACGUGUGUAUAUUUGUGUAAGUAUGUGCGCUUGUACUUGUGUGUGUAUGUGUGCGCGUGUGCUGGCGUUGGUAUAAUACCAACCUCUUCCUUCUCUUCAUCAUCAUGAUCAUCACGAUCAUCAUCGUCAUCCCCAUCAUAAUCAUAAAUAAAAUAUAAGUUUGCAUUAA